rnacentral:rRNA from 1 species
CUACGGGAAUCUGCAGUGGGGAAUAUUGGACAAUGGGCGAAAGCCUGAUCCAGCCAUGCCGCGUGUGUGAAGAAGGCCUUCGGGUUGUAAAGCACUUUCAGUGGGGAAGAAAGCCUUGGGGCUAAUACCCUCGAGGAAGGACAUCACCCACAGAAGAAGCACCGGCUAACUCCGUGCCAGCAGCCGCGGUAAUACGGAGGGUGCGAGCGUUAAUCGGAAUUACUGGGCGUAAAGCGCGCGUAGGCGGUCUGAUAAGCCGGUUGUGAAAGCCCCGGGCUCAACCUGGGAACGGCAUCCGGAACUGUCAGGCUAGAGUGCAGGAGAGGAAGGUAGAAUUCCCGGUGUAGCGGUGAAAUGCGUAGAGAUCGGGAGGAAUACCAGUGGCGAAGGCGGCCUUCUGGACUGACACUGACGCUGAGGUGCGAAAGCGUGGGUAGCAAACAGGAUUAGAUACCCCUGUAGUC